AUACGGGGGGUGCGAGCGUUAUUCGGAAUUACUGGGCGUAAAGAGCGCGUAGGCGGUCUUUUAAGUCAGGUGAGAAAGCCCGGGGCUCAACCCCGGAAGUGCACUUGAAACUAAGAGACUUGAGUAUGGGAGAGGGAAGUGGAAUUCCUGGUGUAGCGGUGAAAUGCGUAGAUAUCAGGAGGAACAUCAGUGGCGAAGGCGACUUCCUGGACCAAUACUGACGCUGAGGCGCGAAGGCGUGGGGAGCAAACAGGAUUAGAAACCCUAGUAGUCC
rnacentral:rRNA from 1 species